rnacentral:rRNA from 1 species
AUGGUCCUUAGGGAUAUCAGGGAUCUGCUGCAAUCCAUGGGAAAGGAUAUUAAACUCUAUGGACUUCCGGAUCUGGUUGACGCAGAUGGUUCUUCUAACUUUGACAAUACAGAGGUAACAGAGAAGAGACAGGUCAAAGUGGACCAAGAACAUCUAGAUCUAUUCAGCUGUUUGAACAAUGAGCAACUAGCUGGUUUCAAUGACAUAAUGGAUCAUGUGACAAACCAAAAAAGCCAGAUAUUCUUUAUUGACGGUCCAGGAGGCACUGGGAAGACGUACCUGUACAAGGCGUUGCUUGCAAAGGUCCGUUCGAUGGGUCUAAUAGCGAUCGCAACUGCUACAUCAGGUAUCGCAGCGUCGAUAAUGCCUGGAGGCCGGACUGCACACUCCAGGUUCAAAAUUCCAAUC